rnacentral:rRNA from 1 species
AGAGUUUGAUCCUGGCUCAGGACGAACGCUGGCAGCGUGCUUAACACAUGCAAGUCGAGCGGAAAGGCCCUUCGGGGUACUCGAGCGGCGAACGGGUGAGUAACACGUGAGCAACCUGCCCCUGGCUCUGGGAUAGCCUCCGGAAACGGGGAUUAAUACCGGACAUGACCUGCUGCGGCAUCUUGGUGGGUGGAAAGUUU